AGAUACCCUAUUAUUUUUAAUGUAAAAUUUUAAGCCGAAGUAUUAAUAGUUAUGUUCUUGAAACUUAAAGAAUUUGGCGGUAUUAUAGUCUAUUUAGAGGAAUCUGUUAUGUAAUUGAUAGUCCACAUUGAAUCUUACUUAUAUUAAUUCUUGUAUAUCGCUGUUUAAGAAUAUAUUUUUAGGUUUAAUUUUCUGGAUAUAAAAAUAAUUGAAAUUUCAAGUCAAGGUGCAGUAAUGUAUAAGUUGAAUAAUGGGUUACAAUAAAUUGUAUUUAUAUGGAUAAAUAUUGGAAUAAUAAUUUGAAAGUGGAUUUAAUUGUAAACUUAUAAAGAUUAAUAAAUUGAUUAGUAGCUCUAUAAUAUGUACACAUCGCCCG
rnacentral:rRNA from 1 species